UAGGGAAUAUUGGUCAAUGGGCGCAAGCCUGAACCAGCCAUGCCGCGUGCAGGAAGAAGGCCCUCUGGGUUGUAAACUGCUUUUGAUAGGGAACAAAUGCCACUUGCGAGUGGAGCUGAGUGUACCUAUAGAAUAAGCACCGGCUAACUCCGUGCCAGCAGCCGCGGUAAUACGGAGGGUGCAAGCGUUGUCCGGAUUUAUUGGGUUUAAAGGGUGCGUAGGCGGCUAUUUAAGUCAGUGGUGAAAUCCUUCAGCUUAACUGGAGAACUGCCAUUGAUACUGAAUAGCUUGAGUAUAGUUGAGGUAGGCGGAAUUGACAGUGUAGCGGUGAAAUGCUUAGAUAUUGUCAAGAACACCGAUUGCGAAGGCAGCUUACUAAACUAUAACUGACGCUGAGGCACGAAAGCGUGGGGAUCAAACA
rnacentral:rRNA from 1 species